ACGAAGGGUGCAAGCGUUACUCGGAAUUACUGGGCGUAAAGCGUGCGUAGGUGGUUCGUUAAGUCUGAUGUGAAAGCCCUGGGCUCAACCUGGGAAUGGCAUUGGAUACUGGCGACCUAGAGUGCGGUAGAGGGGUGUGGAAUUCCCGGUGUAGCAGUGAAAUGCGUAGAUAUCGGGAGGAACAUCUGUGGCGAAGGCGGCAGCCUGGACCAAUACUGACGCUGAGGUGCGAAAGCGUGGGGAGCAAACAGGA
rnacentral:rRNA from 1 species